rnacentral:rRNA from 1 species
GCACGUGUGUGGGAAACUUUCUCUAGGUUGACCUCGGAUCACGUAGGAAUACGCGCUGAACUUAAGCAUAUCAUAGG